UUGCCCUAGUAACGGCGAGUGAAGCGGCAACAGCUCAAAUUUGAAAUCUGGCUCUUUUAGAGUCCGAGUUGUAAUUUGCAGAGGGCGCUUUGGCUUUGGCAGCGGUCCAAGUUCCUUGGAACAGGACGUCACAGAGGGUGAGAAUCCCGUACGUGGUCGCUGGCUAUUGCCGUGUAAAGCCCCUUCGACGAGUCGAGUUGUUUGGGAAUGCAGCUCUAAAUGGGAGGUACAUUUCUUCUAAAGCUAAAUAUUGGCCAGAGACCGAUAGCGCACAAGUAGAGUGAUCGAAAGAUGAAAAGCACUUUGGAAAGAGAGUCAAACAGCACGUGAAAUUGUUAAAAGGGAAGCGCUUGCAGCCAGACUUGCUUGCAGUUGCUCAUCCGGGCUUUUGCCCGGUGCACUCUUCUGUAGGCAGGCCAGCAUCAGUUUGGGCGGUAGGAUAAAGGUCUCUGUCACGUACCUCCUUUCGGGGAGGCCUUAUAGGGGAGACGACAUACUACCAGCCUGGACUGAGGUCCGCGCAUCUGCUAGGAUGCUGGCGUAAUGGCUGUAAGCGGCCCGUCUUGAAACACGGACCAAGGAGUCUAACAUCUAUGCGAGUGUUUGGGUGUCAAGCCCGAGCGCGUAAUGAAAGUGAACGGAGGUGGGAACCCGCAAGGGUGCACCAUCGACCGAUCCUGAUGUCUUCGGAAGGAUUUGAGUAAGAGCAUGGCUGUUGGGACCCGAAAGAUGGUGAACUAUGCUUGAAUAGGGUGAAGCCAGAGGAAACUCUGGUGGAGGCUCGCAGCGGUUCUGACGU
rnacentral:rRNA from 1 species